GGGUAGCCGGCCUGAGAGGGUGACCGGCCACACUGGGACUGAGACACAGCCCAGACUCCUACGGGAGGCAGCAGUGGGGAAUAUUGCACAAUGGGCGAAAGCCUGAUGCAGCGACGCCGCGUGAGGGAUGACGGCCUUCGGGUUGUAAACCUCUUUCAGCAGGGACGAAGCGCAAGUGACGGUACCUGCAGAAGAAGCACCGGCUAACUACGUGCCAGCAGCCGCGGUAAUACGUAGGGUGCGAGCGUUGUCCGGAAUUAUUGGGCGUAAAGAGCUCGUAGGCGGUUUGUCGCGUCGGCCGUGAAAACUUGGGGCUUAACCCCGAGCCUGCGGUCGAUACGGGCAGACUUGAGUUCGGCAGGGGAGACUGGAAUUCCUGGUGUAGCGGUGAAAUGCGCAGAUAUCAGGAGGAACACCGGUGGCGAAGGCGGGUCUCUGGGCCGAUACUGACGCUGAGGAGCGAAAGUGUGGGGAGCGAACAGGAUUAGAUACCCUGGUAGUCCACGCCGUAAACGGUGGGUGCUAGGUGUGGGGGACUUCCACGUUCUCCGUGCCGCAGCUAACGCAUUAAGCACCCCGCCUGGGGAGUACGGCCGCAAGGCUAAAACUCAAAGGAAUUGACGGGGGCCCGCACAAGCGGCGGAGCAUGUGGAUUAAUUCGAUGCAACGCGAAGAACCUUACCUGGGCUUGACAUGCACUGGAAACCGGUAGAGAUAUUGGCCCCCUUGUGGCCGGUGUACAGGUGGUGCAUG
rnacentral:rRNA from 1 species